GGAGAGAAAGCCGAUUAGAAGAUUGAGGAUGUAAAUUCCGAGACCGUAAGAGACGACGUAGAAUCCUUCGAUGAGGUAAACCCGAAGGACAUAGAUAAAGGUAAUGAAAAAGCAGGCGGUCCAACGGUAGAAGAUGUAUGGGGUACACCUAUCGAGGAGGUGCUGAUACCGCCGGGAAACGGCAUGGCUCCACCAUGAAAAGAGAGUGGUAGAAGAAACAUCUUCUCC
rnacentral:misc_RNA from 1 species